GGGGCUGUGGCUCAGUGGCAGAGCUUCUGCUUUGCCUGUAGAAGGUCCCAGGUUCAAUCCCUGGCAGCUCCA